UGUUAGUACUCUAUAAUACUGUAAUUCUUAAGAAUUUGGUCAGGAUUGGAAAAUAGCAGCCAUAUUAAGACAGUACAGGUAUUACGAAUAUUACUAACAGAGA
rnacentral:SRP_RNA from 2 species